rnacentral:rRNA from 1 species
CACGUAGGGUGCGAGCGUUGUCCGGAAUUAUUGGGCGUAAAGAGCUCGUAGGCGGUGUGUCGCGUCGGCCGUGAAAACCUGCAGCUUAACUGUGGGCUUGCGGUCGAUACGGGCAUCACUGGAGUUCGGCAGGGGAGACUGGAAUUCCUGGUGUAGCGGUGAAAUGCGCAGAUAUCAGGAGGAACACCGGUGGCGAAGGCGGCAUCCUGGACCGACAUUGACGCUGAACGGCGAAAGCUAGGGGAGCAAACGGG